UGCCGCGGCUCCUUGCCCAAUCGCAUCCACACCAGGCGAACCCUAGCCUCCUUUCCCCCGAUCCCCCAGCCGCCGCACGGCCUCGCUCCUCCUUCCGUCCCGCUGCACCCUCUCCUCGUUCGCAGCCGCCUCCUUUACACCUCUGCCCGAGCUCCGCCUUCCUCGCCGACCUCCCUCCUCCUGCCUCCUCCCUCCCACGCCUCUCCCUCCUCCUGCCUCCUCUCUCCCCUUUCCCGCGGUCCCCACAACCUCUCCCACUUCUUCCAUCCCUCCUCCCCGUGUCACCACUCACCAUGGCCUCCGCCCUGAAACCUCGCCGACGUCUGCUAUUCCUCCUGCCUCGUCUCUGUUUGGCACCGAUGACCGGCUCACCCCACAGCUUCGUCCCCACCCACAACCUAGUGUUGGGGAGGCCGGGUUUUCUCGCUGGGGGUGGAGGAGAUGGGGACGGCCAAGAGGCCAGCAGUGGGGAGCAGCUAGGUCGGCCUGCCAUCUCUCCACGGAUCUGGUCAACGGCCGAGUUGGCUGGCUGGGAUGAGGAGAUUGUCCUCCUUGUGGCGCUCGUCAUUGAGGACAGCCUGGUCCGCAAAUCGCGGCCCUCCUGUGUUGGGCUACACGACGUGGCUUACUGAAGAGCGCUGACCAACAGCAUGUAGAAACCCUAGCCAUCAUGCUCCUGCCUAGGACACACCAACCCUUCUCCUCUCGCAUUGCUCUAUUUAUUCCCCUGAUUCCCUAUUCGUUUUUUUGUUAUUUGACUAAGUUACCUACUCUGAUGCUCCAGUGUGGUAUUUGCAGGUGUUGAUCUUGGGUUUACCACUUGUGGCUUUGGUUUGACAGGGUGCUAGCAGCUGCAGUUCUGUUCAUUUGGAGGACACAUACGACAAACUGUGACAUCACAGUAUUUUUUUCCUUCAGAUGCUUUAUCUUUGUUUUUUCUGUGUGUAUGCAUGCCAUGGUUUGCACAUCCUUUGCUCAUUGGCAUGUCUAUACACGGGCUUGUUGUUCUUCUAGAGAACUGAGUUGGUGAUGUUUAUUACUGUUAGCUGUUUAGAGUGAUUGUGCCCAAUUAAUUUUGAUCAAUUAAUUAUUACCAGGUAUUUAUUGAAUGAUCUUAUGCAAAUUCCCGGCUAAUUGAUUCCUUUUUUAGCCAAGGCCAUCUUUAUAUCACAUAUCUCUGCUGCUGGUGAAAGUGAUUCAACUGAAAGUGGCAUGUGAUUCUCCCCUGGAGCCCAACAGCCCUCUAUAUGGAUUAUCUGAAAGGUUGAUUGGUUGGGACAUUGUUGAUUGUAUGGUGGCUACAAAAGUGAAUCUUCACACUGGCUGGAAUAGAAGCUGAUAUAGGUUACAGGAGAAAAUACUGAAUAUUUGAGAAAUUUACAUCAGAAGUUUAUAUCUCACAAUAUUAACCAAAUAAAGAAGUUGUACAGAAGAAAAUUAGUCAUGGAUAUUUUAAUUGUAUAGUUAUUUUGCUAUGGUUCUAAAUAGCGUCUGGAUCAGCCGAUAUUGCGGUCUUGGCUGUCUGCUUAUAUCAAGUAUGGUAUGAUAUUUUGGUCAUAUCGACCCCAGUAUUGAGCAUACCGACUGAUAUUCUUGUCAUAUCAGCCCCAAUAUUGAGCAUACCAGCUGAUAUUCUGGUCAUAUCACACUUUCUAUAGUCUACACCAAAUCUGCGAGCACGAUAUCUGAUAUUUGAAUCUUGAAAUUACCAUUAGAAAGGCAAGGAGAUCUUGUAGAAGAAUAGGUUACAUGCUCAGGUAUAUCAUAUAUGGAGAAAAGGCAACUAUCAGCUGUAUUGGUUCUUUCGUAUUUUUGUGCAGUCCUUCUAUUAAUUUUUUCUAACUUUCUGGGUUUAUGUUUGAGCAAGAUAAAUAUAUUCCAUCUCUAUCCCAGUACAGAAUUGAAGCUUCAUCAAAUCUAUCUGGGCGUUCAUUGCGUAAUACAAUGGAGGGGAACUUAAGAACUAGGAUGGUGCAGAUAAGUAAGAGUUGUUGGCAGCAGCAACCUACACAUGUGGAAACAGUGGCUAUGGCGGUUCAAAGGGAAGUUGUGGCUGCUAAGAAACUCACAACUUAGUGGCGGCUCAAAGGACAUAUAAUCUAUUUCUUCUUGGAGCUAUCUACUAUCAUGUUAUGACUCGGUGCUAGCUGAAGCUUCUAUUUUCUCGCCUUUUGUGGUGGCGAUUAUUCCUUGGACUACAGUAAUUCCAUUUGCUAUUCCUCAUGUUGCAACCUUUUCCCGUAGAAUCAAAAGGAAUUAGAUGGAAGAAAUUGCAGGAGAGCAGGAAUGGUAUUCUCGGCUGACAUUCAAAAGCAGUCAAGAUGGUGAAGUUUAGAACGGAGGAGCUCUACGGAAUUAUGGAUAAAAAAUAUCCAUAACAUGUCUGUCAUUGCUCAUCUCGACCACGGUAUGUGACGGAGCAGUGACAAUUGUCUCUAAUUGUCAAGUUUAUACGGUAGAAUUUUCUUGAUUGAUGAUUUUGUAGCCUUCUCUUAGUUUUACUGUAUUAAUUCUUAAAACUGGAUCAUUUAAAAUUAGUUAGAUUUAAUAAAUUGUUUCACUGUUUUCAAAUAAGUAGUUUAAGCCCUUAUUGUGUCCCGGAGCUUAUUCUUUCUGCCUUUUUAUGAUUGAUAUAUGCUCUAACAAGCUUAAAUAUAACUAUUGGCAUAUAAUCUCAUGGCUCAAAAUCUUAGUUGUUGAAUGUAUUAAAAUUUAUAAGAUCUGGAGUCUACACUAUAUUUCAUCCUGCGGUAUUCCCAGUAAUUGAAUAUUAAGAGCACCGACGAACCUAGGUUGUACAUUCGGGAAAUGCUUUUAUCUUGCAGGCCAGUUUUACAUUUACUUAUUCAAUAAGGAGAUGACCAUGAACAGAGUAUCAUGGUAUUUGCCUUGGCAUUACUGACGCUGUGUUCAGAUUACUGAAAGAAGGAUUGGUAACCGCAAAGGAGUGAAGAAAAUAUGUCCAUUGUCGUUGAAUUGGUGGGAUUGUCCCCAAGUUAGUGCUGCAGAUGUUUCUAUUUUAGAGCAAGAAGCCAAAUCAUGCUGUUGAUUGUAAAUCUUGAAAAACUUGUUUAUUGUCACUUCUUUAUCUGUUGUAAAUGUUUGUUCAUGAUGUGGUACUUGUCAAUCUUGGUUUGCCCUUCCUUUUCAAGUUUGCCUUAAAUUUCAGCAGACCAACAAGUCCUUGUUUCUUCAAUUGGUUUCUCAUUUCA